GACGAACGCUGGCGGCGUGCUUAACACAUGCAAGUCGAACGGAAAGGCCCUGCUUUUGUGGGGUGCUCGAGUGGCGAACGGGUGAGUAACACGUGAGUAACCUGCCCUUGACUUUGGGAUAACUUCAGGAAACUGGGGCUAAUACCGGAUAGGAGCUCCUGCUGCAUGGUGGGGGUUGGAAAGUUUCGGCGGUUGGGGAUGGACUCGCGGCUUAUCAGCUUGUUGGUGGGGUAGUGGCUUACCAAGGCUUUGACGGGUAGCCGGCCUGAGAGGGUGACCGGCCACAUUGGGACUGAGAUACGGCCCAGACGCCUACGGGAGGCAGCAGUGGGGAAUAUUGCACAAUGGGCGGAAGCCUGAUGCAGAAACGCCGCGUGCGGGAUGACGGCCUUCGGGUUGUAAACCGCUUUCGCCUGUGACGAAGCGUGAGUGACGGUAAUGGGUAAAGAAGCACCGGCUAGCUACGUG
rnacentral:rRNA from 1 species